GCGAGUCGAGAGGGUUCGGCCCUCGGCUGACGGCUCAGUAACACGUGGAUAAUCUGCCCUUAGGUGGAGGAUACCCUCGGGAAACUGAGAAUAAUACUCCAUAGGCCUAGGAUGCUGGAAUGCAUCUAGGCUCAAAGUUCCGGCGCCUAAGGAUGAGUCUGCGGACUAUCAGGUUGUAGUCAGGGUAAUGACCUGACUAGCCUACGACGGAUAUGGGUUGUGAGAGCAAUAACCUAGAGAUGAUAUCUGAGACACGAUAUCAGGCCCUACGGGGCGCAGCAGGCGCGAAAACUUCACACUGUGCGAAAGCGCGAUGAGGGAAUCCCAAGUGCUUGCUCGUAAGAGUAAGCUGUUUUUAUGUUUAAAACGCAUAGAGAGUAAGAGCUGGGUAAGACGGGUGCCAGCCGCCGCGGUAAUACCUGCAGCUCGAGUGGUGGCCGCUAUUAUUGGGCCUAAAACGUCCGUAGCCGGUUUAAUAAAUGCCUGGGUAAAUCGUGUAGCUCAACUAUACGAAUUCCGGGUAGACUGUUAAACUUGGGACCGGGAGAGGCUAGAGGUACUCCUGGGGUAGAGGUGAAAUUCUGUAAUCCUAGGGGGACCACCAGUGGCGAAGGCGUCUAGCUAGAACGGGUCUGACGGUGAGGGACGAAGCCCUGGGGCGCAAACCGGAUUAGAUACCCGGGUAGUCCAGGGUGUAAACGCUGCUUGCUUGAUGUUAGUCGGGCUCCGAGCCCGAUUAGUGUCGGAGA
rnacentral:rRNA from 1 species